UACGUAGGAUGCAAGCGUUGUCCGGAUUUAUUGGGCGUAAAGAGCGCGCAGGUGGUUGGAUAAGUUGGGUGUGAAAUCCCCUGGCUUAACUAGGGGAGGUCAUCCAAAACUGUCGAGCUUGAGGGCAGCAGAGGAAAGUGGAAUUCCCGGUGUAGUGGUGAAAUGCGUAGAUAUCGGGAGGAACACCAGUGGCGAAGGCGGCUUUCUGGGCUGUCACUGACGCUGAGGCGCGAAAGCGUGGGGAGCGAACCGA
rnacentral:rRNA from 1 species